rnacentral:misc_RNA from 1 species
AAGUCGUAACAAGGUUUCCGUAGGUGAACCUGCGGAAGGAUCAUUAACACGUUAUCCACGUAUCAACCAAACGCGAACUGUUUUCACCUAACCUCCUUGGAUUCAAGAACUGAGGGCCUGUAGAGUUGUAUGAAUGGGGCCUUUGUGCCGACUCUGCUUGCCUGUGACUUAGCGUAGUUACCUACGUUAUGUUGCCAGUUGUACUUCCUGUUGGAGGAUUCUCUCAUUGAUCUGCCUCCAUUCAUUGGCGUUUCAGUGGGAACUUAUUUACUAUUUUCACCCAUUUUUGCUAGUUGACUUUUAUAUGUUGCAUUUAUGCUUCGGCAUCGGUGCACACGUUUAAUUAUUUGAACGUUAAAAAUACAACUCUUAGCAAUGGAUAUCUUGGUUCUC